rnacentral:rRNA from 1 species
CCUACGGGAGGCAGCAGUGAGGAAUAUUGGUCAAUGGGCGCGAGCCUGAACCAGCCAAGUAGCGUGAAGGAUGACUGCCCUACGGGUUGUAAACUUCUUUUGUAAGGGAGUAAAGUGCGGCACGUGUGGCUUUUUGUAUGUACUUUAUGAAUAAGGAUCGGCUAACUCCGUGCCAGCAGCCGCGGUAAUACGGAGGAUGCGAGCGUUAUCCGGAUUUAUUGGGUUUAAAGGGUGCGCAGGCGGGAUUUUAAGGCGGCGGUAAAAUGUCGGGGCUCAACCCCGGCCUGCCGUGGGAACUGGGGUCCUUGAGUGGGCGAGAAGUAUGCGGAAUGCGUGGUGUAGCGGUGAAAUGCAUAGAUAUCACGCAGAACCCCGAUUGCGAAGGCAGCAUACCGGCGCCCUACUGACGCUGAUGCACGAAAGUGUGGGUAUCGAACAGGAUUAGAUACCCUAGUAGUC